UAGGCAGAAGCCAAUGGGUUACGGCAUCUAGCUGUUAACUAGAAUUGUAUGGGAUCGAGGCCCAUCUGCCUAG
rnacentral:tRNA from 1 species